CCCAGAAGUCAAAGUUCCCUACCAAGAAGGACUUUCCCCCGCUUAGCACGACCCUCCCGUCUACCUCUACAUGGGCUUCCAAGGUUGCCAAGACGAACAUCAUGACUUCCCAGGACUCGGACGUGAAGGCUCUGCGGGAUGAGGGACAGCCCGCCAUCUCAAGCUGGGAGGACUGGGAGGUCCUGCUCUCGUCGACGGACCCAACAUCGCAGGUUACUGCGGUGGCUCGGGCUGCCGACGUCAUGAGCAAAAGGAGCAUGAACGUUUCGACGUAGUGCGGGACCGUGCGGUGGUCCAGGGACCCAGAGGAGUCCAAACUCACUUGCUAUGAAUAAAGUUUUUCUGUCUGUC